rnacentral:lncRNA from 1 species
ACAAAAGAAGAAGUUCUCAAGAUUAAUCUGACUUUCUUAAGGAUAAGCCGCAAAUAUGGAUAAGUCGGGCUAAAACCCACAUUAACAUAUAACGGAAUAUUGGAUGAAGAUGAUCAUCCAACGCAGCAGACAGACAGUGGGGGCUUUAUCAUUUGCAUUUUUAACCACAAUUUGAUUAACAUAGUUAACGUUCAAAUAUGGC